UGAUCAUAUGAUAAAAUAUUAUGACACAUGGAACUUCAAGAACAUAGAUAUCUCUAAUACUUCUAUGAAUAGAGUCAUUUAUAGAAUUUUUGCAUUUGUACGUUUCGUUUGUGUCGUAUAGAUCAUGCCAAAAGAAAGAAGGGAUAGACUUAACAUACCUUUGUUGGACUUCUUUAGUAACCACAACGACAACCCUUGCAACACAUGUUAAUCUACGAGAGACGACAAUAACGCAACAACAAUGAAUUAGCAGCAAGCUUGUAGAAGGUCGUUAAUGAUGGAGUGUACUUUUGUUUCCCUUUUUUAAACUUCCUUCCUUUUUGCAUUACUACGAGCUAACUUUGAUCCGCUAACAACCAUAGGGAAUCAGUAUUAGAAACGUAAAAUUGACGGUAGAAUGAAGUAGAGAAAGCUUAAUCCUUUCUUACCUUGAAUAGAAAACGUAUCUGCCCUUAAUAUCACGUUGUUCAUCUUGCCAUUGUACAUUAAUUUGCUGCUCCUUUAGCAAAAGAUACUAUAGUAGCUUAGCAAUAAAGACCUUGUUCAACUUUCCCCCAAAAUGAAUUAAUACAUCCCACUUUGUCAAAAUUUUCCAUCUGCAUUUUUGUUGUAGGUUUGCAAACUCGUAAGCCUUUCACUUUGUCAAUUUAGUGAAGCCGUAAUAGAAUCUUUGAAUCCAAAACAAGAUAAAGUGCACAUGGAUAGUGCCACCUCCUCCUUAAGUAUAAGAUUAGUUGGCAAUUUGGUGUCAUAUCUUCAUAAUCUCACGUGGAUUAUUGUCCCCCCUAAUAAUUAUCAAAUUCUUACUUAAAUAAUUAUCCACGACCUUUAAUUAAUUUGGUUAAUCUCCCAUUAAAUCAAUAAUUAAUCAAUUACCCACAUGAUCAAGAAUUAUCUCAAGUUACUCAAAAUACUAUUCACUUUUAACACAUUUUAUGCACCUUACUAUCAUGGUCAUGUGGUACUUCGUAUGGCACUAGUCCAUAAAUGUCGGGUAUUUUAGUUCGGGCCGUAUUUUACCCCAAAAUGCCAAACUUUGACGAAAAUUCAUUUUCUUUGAAUUGCUUCCCCUUUCACCUUCACGAAUUUACUCAUUACUUGUGAAAUAGCAUAAUUCCUAUUAUCUUCAAAUAAUCUUUUACUUGGACUGAUGUCAAUUACCUUAUGACAAAUUCAACAUACAAUACUACAGGGUACAACAUAUAGUAACUUAAUACUGAGAAGCAUAACAUCAUCGUAAUGUAAUACUGCAAGGCUUAACAUCAUCGUAAUAUUGCGGGGUGUAACAUCUUUUCUAGUCAAUUAGACUUAAUUACUCCAAUCGAGUCUUGACCCACUCAUCAUCAUCAAUUUCAGCUUCAACAACAAUUCAGAGGGAUGGAAUUUCCACUUUCGCGGGUAUAAUGCUUCAGUCCCAUAUACCAACAAACAAGGCAUUGCACCUACUGAAGUGCGAACAGUAGUGCGGUAACCCAACAAAGCAAAAGGCAACUUUUCAUGACAUUGCCUAGAACCUUGCACCAUCUUACGAAGUAUCUUCUUUAUGUUCUUGUUAGCCGCCUGAACAACUCCAUUUUCCUUGGGGCGAUACAGGGUGGAAUUUCGAUGCGUAAUCUUGAACUGUUGGCAUACUUCUUUCAUCAAAUGGCUGUUAAGAUUAGCACCAUUGUCCUUGAUGAUUACCUUGGGGAUUACGAACCAGCAAAUGAUGUUUGAAUGAACAAAAUCAACCACUGCCUCCUUGGUCACAGAUUUGGAAGUCAUAGCUUCAACCCACUUAGUGAAAUAGUCGAUGGCCACCAGAAUAAACCUGUGCCCAUUUGAUGCUGCUAGCUCAAUCGGUCCAAUGACAUCCAUGCCCCAAGCAACAAAAGGCCAAGGUGUGGACAUUGUAUGCAACUCAGACGGCAGAGAAUGAAUCAAGUCACCAUGUACCGACAUUGAUGACACUUGCGCACAGAGCUGAUGCAAUCUCGUUCCAUGGUGAGCCAAUAAUACCCCGCUCAAAGAAUUUUCUUUUCCAAAACAUACCCACUCAUAUGCGGUCUGCAAACUCCGGAAUGCACUUCGGUCAAGAUAGUCGUGGCUUGUUUAGUAUCUAUGCAUCUCAGCAGUCCAAGAUCUGGAGUUCUUUUGUACAAAAUUCCCCCGCUCAAGAAAAAUCCACUAGCCAAGCGUCGAAUUGUUCUUUUUUGAUCACCUGUGGCCUGUACCAGAUACACCCCCAUCUUGAUGUAUUCUCGGAUGUCAUGGAACCACGGUUCACCAUCAAGUUCCUCCUCAACCACAUUAUAGUAGGCAUGCUGAUCACAAACUUAAAUAUGCAGAGGGUCAACAUAAGCUUUGUCCGGAUGGUGUAACAUUGACGCCAAAGUAGCCAAGGCAUCGGCAACCUCAUUAUAGAUCAUAGGAAUAUGCCUGAACUCUACUGAUCUGAACCGUUGACAAAGAUCAUGCAAACAUUAUCGAUACGGUAUGAGCUUUAAAUCUCGAGUCUCCCAUUCUCUAUGGAUCUGGUGCACCAACAGAUCCGAAUCUCCCAAGACCAAGAUUUACUGGACUCCCAUAUAUAAAGCUAACCUUAAACCCAGAAUCCAUGCCUCGUACUCAACCAUGUUAUUAGUACAAUAGAAAUGAAGCUGGGCCGUAACAGGGUAGUGUUGCCCUGUUUCAAAAAUAAGUACAACCCCUAUUCCGAAACCUUUCAUAUUAGCGGCUCCAUCAAAGAAAAGUUUCCAACCUAGCUUUUCAUCCUGCUCCACCUCGUCAAUAUGCAUCACCUCUUCAUCAGGAAAGUAAGUCCGCAGUGACUCAAACUCUUCAUCCACCGAGUUCUCGACCAAAUGAUCGGCCAAUGCUUGAGUUUUCAUCACGGUCCGAGUCACAUAGAUGAUGUCAAACUCUGUGAGCAAAAUUUUCCACUUUGCAAGUCUUCCUGUGGGUAUAGACUUCUGAAAGAUAUACUUUAGAGGAUCCAGAUGAGAAAUAAGGUAAGUAGUGUAGGACGACAGAUAAUGCUUCAACUUUUGUGCCACCCAAGUCAGGGCGCAAUAUGUCCUUUUGAGGGGAGUAUACUUAACCUCAUAGGAUGUAAACUUCUUGCUGAGAUAAUAGAUGGCUUGCUCCUUCCUGCCAGUGAUGUCAUAUUGACCUAACACACAACCAAAGGAAUUAUCUAGGACUGUCAAAUAGAGAAUUAACAGUCUCCCGGGUUCCGACGGGACCAACACAAGUGGGUUUGACAAGUAUCUCUUGAUAUUCUCAAAUGCCUCCUAACACGUAUUAGUCCAUAUCACCACAACAUCCUUCUUCAGCAACUUAAAGAUGGGCUCACAAGAUAUCGUGAGUUGAGCAAUAAACCUGCUAAUGUAGGUUAAACACCUGAGCAAACUCAUCACCUCAGUCUUAUUACUUGGGGUGGCAAUUCUUGGAUAGCUUUGAUAUUUGACGGAUCCAACUCAAUGCCUCGCUGACUGACUAUGAACCGCAACAGUUUUCCAGACGGAACACCAAAUACACACUUGGCAGGGUUGAGCUUAAGAUUGUACCUGCGGAGCCUCUAGAAAAACUUCCUCAAGUCCCCAACAUGGUCGUACUGUUGCUUUGACUUUAUGAUUAUAUCAUCUACAUAAGACUCAAUCUCCUUGUGUAUCGUGUCAUGAAACGCAGUAGUCAUUGCCCUCAUGUAAGUUGUCCCAGUAUUUUUCAAACCAAAUGGCAUUACCCUGUAGCAAUAUGUUCCUCAUGGCAUGAUGAAUGAUGCCUUUUCUGCAUCUUUCUCAUCCAUCAAGAUCUGGUGAUAUCGCGCAUAACAAUCCACAAAAGACCCGAUCUCAUUCUUGACACAGUUAUCAAUCAAAAUAUGGAUAUUUGGUAAUGGAAAAUUAUCAUUUGGACUUGCUUUGUUGAGAUCGCGGUAAUCAACGCAUACCCUGGUCUUACCAUCCUUCUUUGGUACUGGCACAACAUUAGCUAACCAAGUGGGGUAUCGCGUGACUCGAAUGACCUUUUCAUCCAACUGUUUUGUGAUUUCUUCCUUGAUCUUCACACUCAUAUCAAUCUUAAAAUUCCUUAACUUCUGCUUGACGGGAGGGAAUGCCGGAUUAGUUGGCAAUUUGUGAACUACCAAGUCAGUACUCAAACCCGACAUAUCAUCAUAUGACCAUGCAAAAAUGUAUUUAUAUUCAAAUAAUGCUUUGAUUAUUUCUUCCUUGAUUUGUGGUUCCAAGUGUACACUUAUCUUGGUUUCCCUGAUAUUAUUUGGAUCCCCUAAAUUGAUUGUUUCAGUUCAUUCAAAUUAGGCUUGGGUUUCUCUUCAAAAUGAUUUAAUUCUUUACUAAUUUCCUCGAAUGCCUCCUCUUCAUCAUAUUCUGUUUCAUCAUCACACUUUAUUUCUUGAAUUAUUAUUUCAGAGUUAGAUUGGCUUUUAAGACUUGCCCAAAGAUUCCUCAUGCAUGUCAUGUCAUUGAAACCAGCAUAAAAAGAACCGUACAAAGAAAGAAAAAAAAUGACACUAUCAGGAGUAAUGGAAAAAGGGAAAUUGCAUUUCAUUGAAAAUAAAGGAUAUGAGGGUUUGUACAUCAAAACAAGUGAAAAAUAAAAAUCUGGAUUACAACCCUAGAAUAAUCCAGAUAACAGAAAGGAAAAUAAAGCAAACUACCAAGACUCCUUCCGAGUAGGGAGAGGAGUAUCAUUCCAAUUAUUAAGCUUCACUUUCGGCCCAAUAAACUGCACGUCUUCUUUGCUGGAACCCUCCCCAAUUUCUACCAUGUUCACCUCAUCAAAUAGACUCUGGAGCCUUUCAAUCAACUCUUUAUCAAAGUCCACCACAGGCUUUGGAACUGCUGACACAACGUUUCACUACCCCUGACUUGACAAAAGACCUGGAGAGGCGUGGCCGCUCCUUAAGCCUUUUUCUUAAGGAUGGUUUUAGCUUUUUUCACAUCAUCCCUGUAGGCUUGAACCCCAGACCAAAUGUACCCAAAUUUUCACGUAGAGACACUGGCUGCACGAUACCUUGCAAAGAUGCGCCCAGACCCUUGCCGGCACAAAACCAUUCUUCAACAUUUCAUUUGCUACCAUGAUGGUCGCAGAAGCUAGCUUUAGACCUAGAAUGUAUUCUCCUUCUGGAACCUUCUCAACUGACACUGUUUCGGAAACUUGGUACACCCAAGGCCCCUUAUCAUCUUCAGCCUCAAUAAACAGGACGGAUGUAUCAUUAUAAGCACAUAAGUUCUCAUCACCAUGCAUAACUAUUUCCUAUCUAUCCUACUUGAACUUUACCAUCUGGUGCAAAGAAGACGGGACUGCUUUGGCAACAUAUAUCCAGGGCCUACCUAAUAGCAAAUUGUAAGAAACGGCCAUAUCCAAUGCCUGGAACUCCAUGGUAAAUUCAAUUGGUCCUAUUGUCAGUUCGAGCAUGAUAUUGCCAACAUAAUAUUUUCCCUCUCCGUCAAAACCUCGGACACAUAUAUUGUUCUUGUGGAUCAUCUUAGCAUCAAUUUUCAACUUGUGCAGAGUGGAGAGAGGGCAAAUGUUUGCACUAGAACCAUUGUCAACUAACACCCUAGUGACCACAGAAUCUUCGCAUUUCACUAUGAGAUAAAAAGCCCAAUUGUGUUCCGUACCCUCCAGAGGAAGCUCAUCAUCCGAGAAGGUGAUCCUGUUUGACUCAACUAUCUUAUUGGCAAUCUUCUCCAAAUGGUUCUCUGUGAUCAUGUCAGGGACAUGAGCUUCAUUCAGAAUCUUCAUGAGGGCCCAGCGGUGCUCGUCUGAAUGUAUCAACAAUGAAAGAAGAGAAAUCUGAGCGAGGGUCUUUCUCAAUUGUUCCACUACUGAGUAAUCCUGCACCUUCAUUUUUCUCAAAUAUUCUUCCGCCUCCUCUUCAGUGACUGGUUUCUUCACUAGAAUUGGAAUAUCUUUCAGUGGCUUAGCUUUCCUUAGUUCCUCUGGGGAAAAGCAUCUCCCCGAACGAGUCAAGCCAUGGUUUCAUUAACUUCCUCUUUCACUUUUUUCCCUUUAUAAGUUACUAUCACUCGCUUGUAAUUCCAUGGAACAACCUUGGUGUUAUCUAUUGGCAACUGGGUCACGAGUUUAAUAAUAAUAGGGGUAAUGCAAGCCCCUUCCACAAUAAUGACAGGCUCACUUGCUACCCCCGGACAACCACUUUUGUCUUUCCUUGCUUUGUUUUAACAUCAUCUGGGAUCCUCUUCACGACUACCACAGGCGGCCUAUCAUUGGGCGUGCUCAGUUUGUUUGUCAGCUCUUCAGCUAUCGAAGAUGUUGUCUUUGUAACAUUUGGAGUUUUGACUGGCUUACUUUCACUGGCACGGAUCAUCAUAACAGACUUUAAAGGCUUCUUAGGCUCCCCAUCCUUAUGCACUAUCUCAAUCAUAUGCAUUUUGGCAUGGGCUAAUCGAUUUUGAUUGAUGUUCGGAGUUUCCGGACUCUGGACCACAAUUUGGUUUGUAUUGAUGAGCUCCUGGAUGGCAUUCUUCAAAUGCCAACAUUUUUCUGUGUCGUGCCCCAGAGCAUAAGAACAAUAUGCACAUCUGAGGGAAUGAUCCAGGUUCUUUGGAGGGGGGUUUGGUAGUUUUGACUCAAUUGGCCUUAAAACAUCCAACUGCCUCAACCUUUGAAAUAAGCUGGUAUAAGACUCCCCAAGCGGGGUGAAAGUUUUCUUCCGCUGCAGCCUUUCAUUUCUAUACUCUGGCAUAGGUCAAAAGUUUGGACCAGUAGGGUUUCGAUAUGUUCAUGGAGGGAGGUAAGGAUUUUGUGGAGCUGGUGCACGCUAUUGCGGGUAAGGAAGGGGUUGAGCAUAUGACUAUGUGUGGUGGACAUGGUAUUGGGGUGGCCUGACUGAAUACUGCAACUUUGGUGGUGAGAAGUAGGGUUGGAGUGGAUUAUAUGGAGUUUGGGUGUAGGUUUGAGGCUGGGUGUAGUGGUAGGGGAGCCCCUUGGGUCGUGCCACGAUCUUGAGAUAACCAUAGCAACAUUUUCUUUCUUCUUUUUCCCUAACAAGCCCCCAGUGCCAUUCUGGAUUGCUUGCGUAGUUGCUUUGAUGGCAAAGUAACUCAUGAUCUUGCUCGAUUUGAGUCCUUCCUCUACCAUUCCUCCCAUCUUAACCACUUCAUUGAAAGACUUGCCUAUAGCCAGGCUCCAAGGCCUGAAGAAAAUACUCCACCAUUUCAUCUUCCUCCAUUGGAGGGUUGACUCGUGCCGCCUGUUCUCUCCAACGGAAACCAUACUCCCUGAAACUCUCACUGGGCUUUUUCUCUAUCUUAGUCAAAGAAAAGCGGUCUAGGACAAUCUUUACAUUUUACUGGAAAUGCCGAGCAAAAACCUGGGCAAGAUUAUCCCAAGUGUACCACCUGUUGUUGUCCUGGCGGGUGUACCACUCCAAUGCUGCACCACUCAGACUUUUGGCUAUAAUAUGCCAUCAACAGUUCAUCUUUCCCACCGGCUUCCCUCAUUUUGCUGCAAAAUCCUCUCAAGUGGGACAUGGGGUCUCCGUGCCCCUCAUACAAGUUAAACUUGGGCAUUUUGAAUCCAACAGGUAGCUGGACAUCAGGAAACAAGCAUAUAUCCUUAUAAGCCACGCUCACUUGCCCCCCUAAUCCUUGCAUAUUUCUCAGUGACUGCUCCAAGCUCUUUACCUUCAUAAAUAUCUCCUCGUGCUCCUUGUUUUUGGGUGGCUUCUCAGUUUUGACAGGAAGCUCGAAGUGGGGAGUGUAGGAGUAGUGAUCUGGGACUUUGAAGGUGGGCUCUGGGGCAUAGUAAUGGUUAUAUUGGGCUUGGAAUACUGGCUCACUGGAAGAUCGAUGGAGUGUAGCCGGUGGAGGUGCUACGAAGACAUGGGUAGCUGGCGGAGGGGGUAUGUGGUUGCUUUGGCUGGUGGAGCUUGGGUGGUUUGGGAAGUUAUGCCAUGAUAGUGGUGGUAAGGGGUGAAGCUUGGAGCAUGUUGUGGGGAUAAAUCAACAGUGGGAGGCUCUUGAGAUUAAGUCAGUAGUGGGAUGAAAGCAGGGUUGGCGGGAUAUGAUGGUGGAGGAUGCCCUUUCAUCCAUGCCUGGUACAUUUCGGCCAUUUGGUGCUUCAGCUUAUGUAACUCCUCUUUCAAACCAGGCUCAGAUUCCUCCUCCUCUCUCGGUGGGUCAAUAACACUCGCGUCCAAUUCUUUUCCAGCCAUGAUUGCCUUGUGUUUAGACCUGGUAUUGUAUGGGUGGGUUGCCAGAAUGCCAAACAAACUAACCACCUUCCUGAUCUUAAUGACAACAUCAAACUUAUUAGUGUUUAAGAUUUAACAGAAGGCAACUACACGUUUGGGAUGCAAUGCACCUGAACAAUUAAAAGUUUGUACUAUGUAUUUGAACGGUUGCAUGUCUCAUCCCGGCUUUAAAUAACUCUUUUCACUUUGCACUUUCUUUCUCUCUUUCCCUUUUUUUCUUUUUAUCACUACUUCCCUUUUGAGUCACUAUUGAUUUUCCCACUCGGAUCUUGUCGCUCCCUUUUUUCUCGCUUUUGUUCUCUUGUUUUGCCAUUCUUUCUUUCCACUCAAUUUCUUUUUUUUUUAUUUUCUCUCUUUUUUUUCUUUUCAUUUUAUGGUUAUGAUUGAAUACUAUGGGGAUUGCUUACGUAUCAUGACGCCGCAUGAAUCAGAUCAUUACGUAGUUCAGGGGAUAAAUGCGAAAUAAAAGAAAGAUAUAAUUUUUUUUGGGUUUUCAAAUUUUCAUUAAAUAAAAACAUUUCGGUUUUUCCUCUAUUACAACGACUCUGCCCUAAAAACUCAAGCAUUACAAUAACUAAAACAAGACUCAAAAUGGACUAAAAAAACUCCAAAAGAAACUGCAAUACAGACUCGAAAAAUAAAAUCAAGAAUACAUAAGUGCCCCUACUGCUGCUCCAGGGGCUCGCGGGCCAUUAAUCGGUCUCGCCGCGGACCUACGUGCCAUAUCUUCUCGGAGGUGAUAUAGAUCGUCCAUUAUAUGACGGACAAAAAUCAUAACUGCAGCGAAAAACAUGGACCUGGUCAUGUCCUCACAUUCGUUGCACUUCAUCACAAUAUAGUCAACAAUCCUUCUAACCCUCUCCCUGAUGAUACCCUUCUCUUGUCGCAGAUGUCCAAUCUGUUGAGAUCUGGCCUCCAAAACCUGUGUGGCCGUAUGAUUUUGCUCUUGCAGUUGUUGUAGGUAUUUUUCUAGUUGCGACAUCAGGGCAUAGCAGUGUUCUCUUUCUGCUUUGAAGUCUCUUACCUACUUGGUCAUUUCCCUCUCAAGGGUAUUGAUCUUUUUCUUCAGACCCAUGAUUCUUUUGUCGUACUUUUCCUUCAACUGUCGAAUGAAGCUUGCCCGUCCCUCCGCAUUCUGAGCUAACUUUGCUUGGGCUUUUGCUAGUUCACCUUCAGUCUUUUCCAAAUCAAAUCCAUAGUCACAUACUUUCCACCUGAGGCUGUCUAUAAGUUUCUCAUCUUUUCCACUUCUGGCAGGGUUCUCAGCUGCUAUUUUCAUCUUCUGGAUUUGGGCUCGGAUGGCUUCAUUUUCUUAGGCCAACCUCCUUAUUUCACCUUCUGCUUCUUGCGCCUGGAGAUCAUUAUUGAAUUCGAUGUUUCUCAAUUUUUCUUCUAGGGUAUGAAUGGCGGCUUGAUAUUUUUUCUCCUUUUCUCCCCAGGCCAACCUUUCUCGGACUUUAUCAUCAAAAGCCUGAACAUGAGGUCUCUUGGCGGGCCUCUCGGGCUCAUUAUUUUCACUAGACCUUCUCUCAAACCACACGGCAUAAUCUGGAUCCACCUCCCCCUUUGCAACAUUUGGUACCUGGGUGCCAUUUUUCAGAUAUCAGCAACCAUUCCAAUCCUGCUGGACUAAAGCUUCGGGCAAUGUAACUUCUAGAUGUAGCUCAAUGACCUGGGAGGUUAGAUCUUCAUCUUCGGGCACCACCUGGUAUCUCCCUAACUACCUUAAGACUCUUUGCGGUGCAUAUGGCUGGACACUCCUCAAACCCUAUCAACAUUAGGUAACUCUUUGUAACCGUCAUAUGUAUGAUUUUUAUCACCGGGAGCCAUCCUAUAGUCCACUCGACCUAACUUGCUUUUAGAGUUUUCAAGUGGGAGACCCAGGCUUCAAACCCUUCUGGAGCAUUGUAUUCUUUCACCCUUUUCUUGUAACUCUUGAUGAAGUUAUCUUUACUUGAACCAUAGCUCAUGAAUUUGGGGUGAUGGCGGAGAUGCUCGACCAACCACAUUUGUAGAAGAACAUUACAGCCUUCAAAGAAUUGAGCCCCGGACUUACACAAUGUCAAUGCUCGAUAAAUGUUUGCCAGCACUAACAGAGCAAAUGUGUGAUCUUUUUUAGUGAUGAGGGUUUAUGCAAUUCUGGCCAUGCGGAUAUCUAUUGUCCCUUCUGCAUUCGGAAAGACUAUAAUUCCUAAAAAUGCCACUAUGAAAGCAAAUCGACAAUGAAUUUCCUAGAUACUCUUAUCAUGUUUGUUGUUUAAUCCCUUUUCAUGCGUUUCGAACCCAGCUGAGUGCCCAAACCUGAAAUACAAGAAGUAGAAGGAACAACAUCCUCUGUUUAUAUGGGCUUUCUUCAUCUGCUUACUGAUACUCAGGAGAUCAAAGAACUUGUGCAUAGAGGGAGCCCUUGGGAAUAUAAGUUUAUGUUUCCUCAAGUCCCGACCAAAGUCAAUAUAUCCGGCUAUUUCCUCCAAAGUAGGAGUGAGCUCAAAAUUCGAGAAACGAAAAAUGUUAUGGACAGGAUCCCAAAAAGUUACCAAAGCCUUGAUUAGAUCCUCCCGCAGUUUGAUUUCCAUAAUGUCUAUAAGGGUACCCAAUUUCUCUUUUACCCAAUCUUGACCAUCUUCAUCUAGAUCAUUCCACCACAUACGAAGCUGCAGCUGAGCCUGUUGUAUGACCAAUUGCAAUGGUUUCUGGACAGUGUUCAUUUGUACCUGUGGAUGGUAUAGGUUAGGGUUGACUCCGGUGGACUCUUUUGUGAAAUAAGUUUUCAAUUUCUAAAAGAGAAAAUCUACGGAAAAUGGCCCCCUAUGCUAUUUUAACAAAAGUGGUCGUUUUUGUAAACGCGCCCCUUUCACAAUUCCAAAUAAAUUUUGAGGUCGGGGGAAGGUACUUCAUGGAAAAAUGACACCUUAUCGACAGACUUAUCCGUUAUUUACGAAAAUAGCUCUUCGACAAUUGAAAGAUAUUCUAGGGCUAUUUCGGCAAGAACGGCUUAAGACAUAACCGAAGUUGGGUCCGCUUAUUUUUUUACCAAAGACCUAAACUACACUUUAUUUGAUUAUUUUUUUUAUUUGUUUUGCAAAAAUGAGGUCAAACCUUAUGUAGGUUGCCUACGUAUCUCACAUCCGGUGAGAAUUAGACAUGCGUAGUUUGGUCAAUUUUGACAAAAUCGGAAAAGACAUGUUAUUGACCCAUUUUGAGAUGACUCUUUUUCCUUAACUCCUUUUUUAAAAAAUUUCGGCAAAGUUUCGAGACAUUUUCAAAUACUGGAAUUUUCAGAACUGGGCUUUAUUUCUUUCCUACAUCACUCUUGGUUUUUCUCUUGAUUUUCUUUUCCUAGCCGGUCAACAUGCAAGCCGAAAUAAAUAAAUGUUCAUAUAGCACGUAUGAUGCACCAAGAUAGUCUGUUAUUUUGGGUACACCUGUCUUAGACGUACCCAACCCCUGUGUUGAAUCCCCAAAGUCAAAUGCACGUGAUGCAAACAAACGUUCCUACUAGGGAUCCGACAUGAGGUUAUUCUAGAUUUAAAUCUAGGGUUGUGUUCUAGACCUGGAUUACCCGAGUGGACAGCUCGAGCCGAGAUGGGGGCAACGUACCGGGAGCACUAAAGUCUACCCGGCCUUGUUGCUGGCCCAGCCUCACUCUAUAUGGUAUAACUUCUAACAGAAAAAUGGGCCAUGUGAACGUGUGCACCAUUUUUAGAAGACUCGAAUGGGAGGCGUAAUAAGACAGUUUAAUACAAUUCAAAUAAUAUCAAAGUGAUAAAUAAGCAGCAGUUAGCACAUUAGGUCCACAAAUACGAUAAUAUGAACAAUAAAUAAAGCCAAGUAAAAAUCACAAAACAAGCUCGAAUUCUUGAACCUUGAACCAGAGAUUCUGGGUUCUUGUCCCCAGUAGAGUUGUCAGAGCUGUCACACCUUCUUUUUCUACCCCGAAAGGGAUAUAAGGGAGUUUUUUUUUCAAUUAAAGUGACAAUAAUUGAAACGGGAUUAUUUAUUCAAAUUCAGAGUCGCCACUUGGGAAUUAUGGUGUCCCAAGUCACCGGUUUAAAAUCCUGAAUCGAGGAAGUUUGACUCUAUUUAUGGUCUACGAACACAGAAGACCGGGUAAGGAAUUCUGUUAACCGGGGAGAAGGUGUUAGGCAUUCUCGGGUUCCGUGGUUUUAGCACGAUCGCUUUGAUCAUGCCUGGCUUAUUAAAUUGUCUUAUCACUUGUUUUAUAGCCUAUGUGCAUUUACCCCCUUAACCGCUUUUAAUUACUUGAUUUAUUCAUAAUUAUGGAGUUAUCUUAAAAUGAGUCACGCGUACGUGUACUCAUUUCAUUCGGUGCGUCAAGAAUCAUGUCACGCGUACGUUUCCAUAAUUUCUAACACUUAGUUUAUUCAAAAAAAGGUUUGGUCAAAGUUGUGCGAACGCAUAUUUUGAAUUUAUUUGAAAGGAACGUAAUCAUGAUAAAAACAACAAAAAUCACGCCUAAAAGCCUUUAUACGAAUAUUCAUUUUAAAAAUCGUACUCGUGUCACGCGAACGUGUACACAAUUCAAAACAUUUUAUUAUUAUUAAGACUGUUUCGCCUAAGGUUGCACGAACGCAUACCUUGAUUUUAAUUAUAAAAGAAUCAUAACUAUGUCACAUGAACGUGUACACAAUCACGAUAAUUUGAUUAAUUAAGAGCGCGCCUAAAGCAUCUCACAAUGAGAAUUAUCUAAGAACUAUUUAUGGAAGGAAUGUGGGAGGGCCUAAGGCAACACUAGUUCUAAUGGCAUAUUAAUUCUUAUCUAGCAAUCCAAAUUAUGUGUACUUUUUACAUGAAAAAAUAUAUUUAAUAUAUAUGUAUUUAUUUUUACCAUUCAACAUAUUUAGAAAGUGUAAAAAUAGAAGAAAUGUGUAUUUUUUUUAAAAUAAUCCUUGUGCACUGGAUAUCAAGUAGGAAACAGAAGAUUCAAAAUUUGAGAUAGAAUGCAGCAAAUUCAGCAGCCGAAAUGAUUUUCGUGAAAGAAUAUGUAUUCUCCUCCCUAUUACUAUUUGAAAUCCUUGAGCUUUGAAAUCUAUGAUACCAAGGGAAUUCGAUGAUAACAAGUAUCUCUACCAACAGGCAACAUCAACAACUCUCAAAUCACAAAAACUUUUCAAGCUUAAGGAUUCUUUACGAAGAAAUACUACUAUUGUCUAUCUCUAAUAAAGCAUAGCAAGGCAAUAACAGUAAAGGAAAACGGGUCAAAAAUACAAAGAGUUGGAGGAUAGAUUAUACAUUAACUCAAAUAACAAAUAAAGUAAACCAACCAGGUAUUGACGACAACGUGUGAACUAGAUCAAAAUGACUGACCUUUUAUAUACAUGAAGUUGAAUACAACAAUGUAAACUCGACGAGAGAACUCGAACAAGAUGGACCAGGCAUGGAGAACUUCGCCGGCGACUCCAAACGGAACUCGAACAAGAUGGACCGACGACUGGAGCUUUCAAAUGACAACUUCAGGCGAGGAAAUCGGACUGUUUCACGGAGGUUUCAGGUAGGUUUCAUGGCUGUUGGCUGAGGUUCUAGGCGAUGAUUUUCGGGGACGAUUUGGCUGCUUUAAUGGCGUCCAUGGCUGGACGUUCUAUGGCAGUCUUGGGGUGAUUCAAAGCUGAAGUUGGGGGUUGUCUUGGACGCGGAGAAGGGCUGCAACGGCAGAUCUCGUUUGAAGGAGGGCGUUAGGUAGUGUGUAUGUGUAUGUAUUUUUUUGAGUUGAAGGCUGGUGAUCUUGGGUCUGGAGAAGAUGAAGGAGAACGACUGCUAUAUCUCUU
rnacentral:lncRNA from 1 species